rnacentral:lncRNA from 1 species
CCAAAGUCAUUGUUCACCUCGUUGACCUGCUUUUCUGCCUCCUCCCUUGAUCCUUAAAGAGAUUCCGGUGGCUUAAUCAGAUCCAACUCUAGUGCCAGUUCGUCGGCCGGUGAAACUCAACCCUUUCCACAGGAUAUGGAGCUAACUAUCUGGUUAUUUCACCCCAAUCAGUGAGUUCUUUAGGUGAUUUUUUUUUUGUUAAACUAAUUAGGAUUGGCUAAUAUUAUUUCUUGGUUGCAGCCAGAUCUUGUUGUUUUCAUGAGGUAAUACCUAGCUACCCAAGUUCCUAGUUGCUUGCUAUAGAUGAUUAAGACACUAUAUUCUGGGUUUUUGUCAUAUCCUUGCUCCAAGGCCUGAAGCACCCACCUAUUCUCUAUCAGAAUAGCUUCUUGUGCUCUUCUUCUCAUAUUCUCAUCCCCAAAGUUUAACCUUGCCAAAUUAAAAUUAUCCUUUUUUGUAGAAAGGACCAAAUUAAAAUUAUCUAGUAGGAUCAACUAAUUAAUUUGACUAAUCAAUUCUAAGUAGAAUUUUGCUAAAUGUUUGAAUUUCAAUAGUUUCUCUUUUAUCUUUUUCUAAAUAAAUUAAUUUCUUUCUGAGCUUAUAAAAUUAAAUUUUAAUCUCUUAUUAAUGAUCAGUUCGAUUUUUGCUUUGUUUUCCAAUUUGAGUCAUUUCCUAGUUCUCAUUGAGGUAAAAAUAAUUUUUUCCAUAAGCACAAGGCAAAUAUGAAAUUAGUGGAUUUGUAUAUAUAUUGUAUGCUUUUGUUGUUUGUCUUUACUAGUACCUUUGUUUUUGACCAAAUUUUAAAGUAUUUUUUUAAGAUUAAAGAUUCUGUAAUAUUUGUUUGAUUAAUACCUUUUUGUUACUUAAUUUUUCAUUAUUUACAUUGUGGGUUUUCAAAAUUUUCUAUAAAACAGAAGGGAAAGGUAGUAGGAAACAAAAUCAUAACCUAAACAAUAUUUGACACUUGAAACAAGCAAGAAACCAAAAUUUACUUGGCUAGCUGUGGGCUGUUUUGAUUAUAAUGUCAUGUUUCUAAAUUUCUCUCUUAUUUCUUGGCUCUCCAUUUUGGACCCAUUGAAUAACUUGUCAAGACUUCGUUGAAUGUGCAUCUAAUUUGUAGAAGAUAGGGAUUAAUUCUUCUAUUUUUCAUUAAUUAGUUGUGGUGAAAGCCGCUUUUAUUUUUAUUUUGUUUACUAAGUCAUAACAUUUUAUUAUAGAUUGGCAUUUCACAAAUUUACACGAAAAAAACUUCUAGUGAAAGAGAAGAAUCAAGAAGUUAAAGCUGACAACAAAUUCAUGCCUACCAUAUCCAAUGAACAAAUAUGUUUGGGAGAGAAAUAAAAAAGGCAAGUAACAGGCCCAAUGGACUAAGCAAAGCUAGCAAUCUUUUUAGUUUAUUUAAUAUUCAACUCCAUCGGGCGAUGGGCGUACGUGAACCCCGAAAAGACCCUCGCCCCUCGCGAGUCACCCACACGAUUUGUGUAAACAUCGCCAGUUUGACUCUCUGUGGACGGAAGGAUGGCACGCUCGCAGGUGCUGGGGGAUCCAAUCCGCAGCAAGUACGUAGUUACUCAUCAUUGGAAGCAAAGUAAAAACAGAAAAGAAGAAGAUUCUGAUGUUCUCCUUAACACCCGGGGCUUGUGGCAGGACGGAUGCAUCAUCCUUAUCCGAAACUCGACAUGCGCUUCCAUAUGUUGGUUGUCUUGCUCUACUUCGAGACUGGAACAUAUAUAUUUAGUUGAUGAAUCUUAUUUAAUAUUGGUGGAGCCAAGGGUCAAAUCUAAAUUAAUAGCAUGCCCAUCACCAAUGGAUUAAUCAAGAAUCUUUAUAUCCAAAUGGAAACUGAAUCUUUAAUCAGCUCUGCAGAAAAAUGUAAAAUUUAUGCAGCAAAGAGGGACUUUUCUGGAUGUAAACAUUAUCUCUGUUGCGAUUAAGUGAUAGUAGCUUGCUUCAAAACAGAAAAACGUAACUUGCUAGGGAAGGUACAGUUGAGGUCAAAAGGUCAAAAUAAUGAAGUAGAAUUGGUGAAAUGGAUUUGAAAGCGACCCAAUCAUCUGUUAAGCUCCUUUGAACGGAUUAUUUGAUUCAGUUCGAUGAUAGACGAUGGUCGAGGCCUUUCGGGAAGAGCCAUGUCUGCUUUUCUGCGAUGUGUUCACCUUUUGGAAUAUGCACGUUUUCUCAGAGAAAAAGUUUGAUUGAACGGCAUCAUUGCCCUACGAAUCCAAUUUGUCCACGCUAAAUGCGAAGGAAAUUUGUGUUGAAAAGCAACGCCUAGCCCGAGUAAAGUCGCACUUGUCUAGAGCUAAUGCGCUAUAAGUUUGCUUAUGUUCCAUGGAAAUUGGAAAGAGCCUACCAUGAUACUUGUCCACGCUAUGUGUGAAGGAGAUUGUGUUCCAAAUAUUAAACAAACUAGAUUAUGGCCCGUGGGUUGCACACAGGCCUCUUUCUAUUUGUUUGUUUCUUUCUCUUUUUAUCUCGUUUUUUCUUUCAAUUUUUUCUUUUUUCCUAUACCUUCCACGUGGCUAAAUGAAGAAGCCACUUUGGAUCUUCCUUUUAUAUAUGUUAUAGAUAGAAAUCGUUCACAACUGCAGCUAUAUAUAUUCCAACGUCUGAGAGGGUUGGCGGUUGCAAUUACUAAGAAAAUGCUGCUGAAUAAGGUUUAGGUGUUUGUGUUAAUUUAGAAACAUUCAUGUAUUAUCCUGAUUAAGUCUUUUUUUUCCUUUUAAUUAAUCAAAUGAAUUUUAUUAGGUAUCAGGAAAUGACAUAUAAUUGAGACUAUUGAUCAGAUUUGAGCUUAAUAUUAACAACCCCCUUUUAUUAUUAAGCAAAAAUUGUCUGAGUUCUGUCUACUUUAAAUUUGACAAAUGAGUCUAUAAAAAUAUUUUCUUUCCCAUAGAUAUGCAUAAAAUCUAAAUUCUCAAUUUCUUUUAAAUUAACAGCGGUUGAUUUCAUUGAACAUGCAUCAAUAAAUCCGUGACCUUUGUUCCUCAUCAUAUAUCCAAGAAAUUGUAACUAAUGAGUCUAAUUCAGUAAUCAACCUUUAAAUCCAAAUAUCAGUUGGAAACAUCUCAACAGUCUUCUGAUUAAGCUUGGCUAAGUCUUUUAUCAUUGGAUGAAAAUCAACCAAAAACUAAUUCGGUUCCUAUGAUGAUAUUUAUCAGAUGAAAAAAAGGAAUAGUGCAAAUAUUCUUAGGAAUACUAUUACUUUAUACUUAAUUGUGUGUUCCAAAGGAUUAUCAUUAUUAUUACCAUAUCAUUUUUUUUUCAUCUGAGCUCAUACAAAACUGCUUACAUUAAACUAUCGGAAGAAUAAACUAUCUGAUUAGUACUAGUUAACUAUUGACAAAUCUGAUGAAACUUCCUGCUUUUUGCCUCAAAAAGGAAAAUAAUGCUUAUCCUAAUUAAAACAUUAUGAAAAGGAAAUAGAUUAUAUUUUUAAUUUGUUAGCUCAAAAACUUUAUAUGAUGUGUAACCAUAAAAAUUUUCUAGUUUGGCAGCCAAAUAGAAAGACACUUGAAUUAGAAAUCCACCAAUGUUUGUUACAUCAGAUUUGAGUCAUAACUUGAAUCACUCCUUAUUAAAAGCAACAAUAAAAAUAAUUUAGAUGAUGUAAAAAGUAGUGUAAUUCCAAUGAUUCAAACACAGAGUUAAACACUAUCAAUCAGACAUUACCCAAUUAAAGCAAACAGUUGUAAUUGGAGGUACCUUUCUGCCCCAUUUUAGCACGGCAAAAAGGCAUUAGUACAAGUAGGUGCUUCCUUCUCUGCUUGGUGGUAAACCCGUAAGUUGCUGUAUGACUCUUAACGCUGCAAUCUUUCUUUUUGCUCCAUUGUCAAUUUUAUUUUAAUAUAUUAUUUGACAUGUAAUAUUAUUUUUUAUUAACUAGAUUAUAAUUAUAAAUUCAAACUAUCAAAUUAAUCAAAAAAUAUUUAGACAUGAAAUAUUUAAAAACUUAAUUUGGGUUAAAAAUUACUUAUAAUUGAAAUCUAUAUGAGUUAUUUUAAAAGAGUGAAAAAUAUAACCAAAGACCAAGAAGAGGAAUGACUUGAAUUUUUGAAUAAGGAGAGUAGUUUAAGUUUUUAUUUUUUUAAUAAAAUCUUAAAUUAUAAGAAAAAAUUAUUUUAUCUUUUCACGUAGUAUUUAACUAUUAAUAUAUAAAUCACUUUUAUUUGAAGUUUUUGACCUCACUUUUUAUAAAAUUAUAAAAAAAAUAAAUUUAUUAAUAUAUUAACUACCCUAAACCAUAGAUAAAUAUUAUAAAAACUAAAUCCUUUUACACUCUCUUCAACAUGGGUCGGCCCGUGGUUAACAGACUGAUAGAACCAUCAUCAUCCUCGUUAUAGUGCAAGCAAACAUUCUACUAAUCACACGCCAUACAUUGAGUUACUUUGAACCAUCGAAUGUUUGAUAAAAUAUUACUCUUCACCACUUGAGUUUUUAUCAACGAAGAAUAGCUUUUCAAAAAAAAAAAAGAAAAGAAAAUACUGCCAAAUUGCAACGGGCAGGAGUAAAGUUUUGCAAGCUUUACCAAUUACAACCUAAUAAACAAUAGAAAUCGUUGACAAAAGCGGCUUAAUGAGGCGGGCAAAUCCGGUUUGCCUUGCAAAGAAGGAUUUAAUGAGGCGUUUGAUGACGUUUAUACAACAAAACUUCCACAAAUUUGACGGCGGAAAGGGGCAUUUCUGCUGUGCUGCAUUGGGUAAUCCUACUGUGCUGAGUUGUCAAAGGAAACGAGGCUGCGGUCGUCGACGUGGAACAUUCAUGCGAUAAGUGAAGGAAUUUCUUAAGAAGAGAGGGGCAAAUAGUUUUUUGGUGGGUUUGGACUUCACACUUUGGAUCAACAAAACACCGAAGGAGGGUACAGCUGAAAAGGUAAUGAUUUUAUUGACCGUGGAAAAUUCCGCAUUUAACUCUGUUAAAUGCCAUUUGCGCCGACGGAAAUAGUUUUACCAUUUUAGCCCUUUUUAGCCCUCGGAAUUCCUACAUCUCCUAUAGAAUUUAGCACCAAUUCCUAACAAGAAAGGGCUAAAGGUAAAAGUGGACAAUAUAAUAAGUUCUUGGGAUGCAUUGCCUUUCUGUAUCUAUAUAUAGCAGCUGAUUUCAUAAGGAUUUAUUACCACUGUCCCUUCCUAAGUAGUAGUACUAAAAUUUUCAGACAGCCUUCACCCACCAGCCACCAUGCCUCAAGCAAAAAAGAUGUUCUCAAAGUCACUUACUGACACUGACAUCAACAAAAGGUUGGCGAUACCGGCUAAAAUCCUGCCUUCCUUGCCAGAUUUCAAUGGAAGCCAUACCGUGACAAUUCACCUUAUGUACGGCACAAAGACGUGGCCAAUUAUUUGUUCUAUCCGCAAAACUGGGUACAAGAAACCUGUUUUCUCCGGUGGUUGGAGAAAUUUUGUUAUUUUCAAUGAUUUCCAUGUUGGCGAGGUCCUCACGAUGUACAAAGUGCAAGAUGAAGAGGGCUCUUUCCAUUAUAAGGUUGAAGUGGAGAAGCUAGCCACACCAUCCGUGGCUCUUUCCACUCGGGCUGUCUCUUUGAAUCCUGAGGUAGAUGAAACCACUGGCACAAGCCACCCAAAAAUCAACAACUUUCAACACGAUCAAGAGCAACUGCCUAAGGCUGAUGCACCGGUCAUACAGGAGGGAGCUACCAUGGAGCUAGCCGAUGCUGCAGCUAAUGCGCCGGUCCCUUUCGUUGAUCAUUUUAUUGCCAAACUAUCUGGCAUGAUAUUUGGGACUGCUGUGAGUGAUGAAGCGACUAGCAAGGCUUGCGUCAAGCCCGAACAUGAGACAGAAAUGAAGUUCUUUGGCAUUACGAGGGGUAUUGGCAUGGGUGAACCACCGCUCAUCAAGGCUCAAUGUGAUCUGAAUGAGUCCGUAAGUACGGAAAGGCUUAACUUGGACUUGGUUCUGGGACAACCAAAUCUAACCAAAGAAGAGAGAGACACCAAGGCUCCCUUUGAUCUCAAUGGGGGUGGUUCACUGGCCGUCUUUGGCACUAGUCAAGCUACUGAGGAAGCAUAUUCCGAGAGUACUGGAAGGCUUAACUUAGACUUGGUUCUGGGACAACCAAAUCCAUAUAACAGAGCAGUGAAUAUUGAUUUGACUUUGGCGCAGCCCCUUGCCGAUAAUCGAAGCACCGUCUUUGCUCACUCAAAACCAUAGUAGGAAGUUACAAGAUCAAAGAGAGCUAGAACAGCAGUGCGGGAGCUUUUCGAAGCCUAUCAUGGUCGAGGGUCAUAGUCUAAACUGAACUCCGCUGAACAAGUCCUUGCGUGGAUCAGUCCAAUUUUGUUUCUCGUCUUAUUUUAUUUUCCAGUACUUUUUAACUAGAGUUGCUUAUCCUGCUAGCUUGACAGUUUUUGGGGAUUUGGAUUGUGGAGAAUACUGUACGAGUAGUAUAUGCUUUUUAACCUUUUGGGUUCUGUUCUUGGGUUUAUUAUAUGUUCUUGAUGUAAAUCAUAUAAUAUAGUAAUAACAAUUAACGUGUGAGUUAAGGGUCUCCAGUUUUUGUUCAUUUUAAGUUUCUCUUUUUUUUUUUUGGUAUUUUUAAAGAUGAUAGAUAUCCUUUUUGGCCAAUGGAGAUGACUCGUUAAAGUAGCUGCUUGAUAUUACUUUUUGAUUUGAGUGAAAAGCCCCAUAUAAUAUGACUUGGUUUUUUAGUCGUUCUUAAGCCGAAGUCGCUGUCCACCUUGUUGACCUGCCUUUCUGCCUUCUCCCUUGAUCCUUAAAGGGUUCCGGUGGGUUAAUCAGCUCCAACUCUACUGCCAAUUCGUUGGUCGGCAAAAUUCAACCCUUUCCAACAGGAUAUGGAGCUAACUAUCUGCUUGUUUCAUCCUAAUCAGUGAGUUCUUUAGGUAAUUUUUUUUGUUUUUAGUAAAUUAAUUAGCAUUUGCUUUAUUUCUGGUUGCAGCCAGAUCUUGUUGUUUUCCUGGGGAAAUACCUAGCUACCCAAUUUCCUAGAUGCUUGCUAUGGAUGGUUAAAACUCUACAUUCUGGUUUUUAUUUUUUCAUGUCCUUGCUCCAAAGCAUGAAACACCCACCUGUUCUCUAUCAGAGGAAGAGCACAAGAAGAACCGAUGGCUGCACUUGAUACUUGUUCUGCUGACUUAGCAGCAGUUGUAUCAAGUGCAGCUAGUUCUCUUCUUCUGAUAUUCUCAUCCCCUUACGUUUAGCUUGCCAAAUACAGUAGUAUCAACUAAUUAGUUACUCGCUGAGCGUAUUUAAUUUUAAUCUCUUGUUGAUGUUCAGUUCGAUUUUAUGUACAAUUCUUUUUGUCUUCAGAAAUUACUUUGGAGAUAUAAUUUUAGUAGAAAAGUCAUUUGAUUUGUCAACAAUUCAAGUAGUUAACCCAAUAUUGAAGCAUCUUACAUAUGUUGCCAAUCACUUGCACUAUGGUAGGCUUACAAGGUUUUCUAGUUUAAAAUUUCCAUCUCUUCUUUUACCUUUUCUUUUCUUUUUUUUUCUAUAAUUUGUAUUGACNGGGUCUAUAAUUAUAUUAUUUUCUUGGCUGCCUAUUUUAGACCGAUUGAGUACCUUGUCAAGACUAGGUCUUUCUGGAAGUUAGGGAUUAAUUCUUCGAUUUUUCGUUAAUUAGUUGUGGUUUGGGGUUCAUGUUCUGCCAGAAAUAGAACUUUCACAAAUUUGCAUGAAAAAACUUCAAAGUGAAAGAGAAAAGUCAAGAACUUUAGCUGACAACAAAUUCAUACUUACCAUAUAUAUCAAAUGAACAAAUAUUGUUUCGAAGAGAAAUGAAUAAGGCAAGCCACCGGGCGAAUGGACUGAGCAAAGCUAGCAAUCUCAUACAUUUAUUUAAUAUUCAACUCUAUGGAGCGAUGGGCGUACGUGAACCCCAAAAAGACCCUUACCCCACGCGAUUCACCCACACCAUCUGUCGAAACAUUCCCAAUUUGGACAAAACCAUGGCAAGCUUGCAGCUGCUGGGGGAUCCACUCCACAGCUAAGUACGUCGUAGUUACACUCAACAUUGGAAGCAAAGCAAAAAUAGAACAGAAAGAAGAUUCUGAUCUUCUUCUUAACAUCCGAGGCCUGUGGUAGAAGAUGUUUUAUUGGUUCGAAAGCAACUGGGAAUACGUUGCACGUGUAGUUAGUAGCCAAUCAAAACCCACAUUGACCGUUGAAACUUGAACAAAAAUAUUAAUUCCACUCAUUUGAUUCAGUCCAAUGAUGGAAGUGUGUUGUCUCUACCAUGAUGUACUUGUGCUUCAUUCAAGAAAAGUACAAACUUGGCCCGAUCAGGGCUUAAUUUUUCAGUCAGCUGACUCAGCUCACUUUCUCCAUUUGGGAUUUUAGCAUCUCAGUUAGUGUUUGUACUUGGGAGCCUAAACCUUUACAAGCCGAGUAUGGACCAAUUAACCUCAGCCUGUUAGUCCGUAUUGCUAAAGUUGAAUCGCCAGAGUUUAACGUGGGCAAUAUUGCUCCGCGGACUGCGGUGUCAGUUUAAACAAAGAAGAAGAAGAAGAAGAAGAAAGGCAUCCAUCCACCAGAAUGUUAUAAACUGACAAAACAGCCAUAAACAAUUUACUACUCUACUGCUUUCCUUUUUGAUCGGAAGCGUAUUGGCAAAUGCUCAAGAUCUUGCUCCUGGCCGCUGUUUUUUACUCUGUGCUUGUUAAUUAUUCAUUUCUUAGAAGGGGCGUGCAAUAUAUAUUCAGACCAAAAUGGUGUUCAACUUUUCAUCCUACAUUCCGGUAAUUGAAUUCCCAAAUAUUAUUUUGACACUGGCAUCCAACUAUAUAUAUAUUAGAAACUAUACACCAGGGUUCCACUAUUUGUACAGGUAUAACAAACCUAGCAGGCAAUUUUUUAAAUUUGAGAACAGUAUUGUUAAUGAAAGCUUAAAUGCAAAUUAUAGAAGUUGAACAGCGGCAAUGGCUGGAAUUUUCUCUCGCAAUUUCUGCGUAACAGCCACUCUUUACUGUCAUGACCCCUGCUGCUGGACGAACUUCACUAUUGGCUCCUUAGUGGCAAUUAAUUCAAGAGAAACGCCUGCUGCCCCAGCAAAGGUCAUAGCUAGAGUGAUAAAUGUCCAUAAAUAGAAGUGAAAACAGUCCAAUCAACAAUCAAAAACAAUGCCAUAUUUUGACUAAGGAUUUAAGCCAAAUGGAAGGAAAGAGAAAAUUAAACAAAUAAGGGCAAAAUAUCCAAUUAUGUAUUACUUCGUCUACCUGACAUUUCUAAUUUCCUUGCCCCAUGUUCUAUCAUCCUUGCAUGUCUCCCUUCUCAUCAAACAAUAAAAGAUGUGAAGUAUGAUUUGAUGAUCUAAUAUGGACAGAUUGAAAAUCUUGUGAUUAGCUUGUUCUAAACUUUGUCUUCCGAGCUUGCUGCAUAUCUAGAUGAUUUGUUGAUUUAGUCUUGGAAUUGUCUGCUGCUACUGCUGAAUUUCAAUUGCUAAACUUCUGUCAGAUGUUGAUCUUCUACUGAGCUUGAUCUAAUGCAACAGUACCAUCUUUCAAUUGAGAUUCGACACUGGUAACCAUUGGUGUAAUGACUUCCUUAGUAUUAUCCACGUCUAAUUUCUGUAAAAAAAAAAAAUCUUUAAUGUACUUGUGCUGUGAUAAAAACUUGCUUGUAAUGUUGAUCUAACCUCAACACCAAAAAAAAAAAAUCCAGUGUACUGAAAUAUUUUAAGUGAGAAUUUGUUUACAAGCUGGUGUAGAAAGUCAUCUAUAUAGACCAAGAAAGUUAAACUAAGAUAAAAUUCUUGACAUAUAAAUAAGUAAGCAUGCAUCAGAAUCUGAAUUGUGAAAACCAUAAACAAUAAAAGAACUGCUUAAUUCCUAAUAUCAAUCUUGAAGUGGAUUUCAUAGAUAUGAGCUUGUCUUUAUCAAUGAAUAGUGAGUUUAUUAAGUGAACUUUUUUGGCAUGAAAUGUUAAUUCACGAACUUUAUACGAUUAUUUCUAUUCAUUUUAAAUUUGAUAUGAGUCAACAAAAACAUUUAAUUUUCAAUAGAUGUGCACAAAAUCUAAAUUCUCAAUUUCUUUCAACUCGUAGUCAAAUUCAUUGAACAUGUGCCAAUAAAUCCAUGGCCUUUGCCCCUUAUCACAUAUUCAAGAAAUCGUAGCUUUUGAGUCCGAUUCAAUAAUAAACUUUUAAAUUCAGAUAUCAGCUUGAAAUAUCUCAACAAUCUUAUAAUUAAGCUUGAUUUCAUUGGAUUAAAAUCAACCAAAAACUAAUUCAGUUCCUGUGAUGGUGUUUAUCAAAUGAAAGAAGGAAUAGUGUGCAAGUAAUUCUUAGCAAUACUAUUACUGUGUACUUAAAACUACUUACAUCAAACUAUUGGGAGAAUAAGAUAUUUAAUUACUACUACUUAGCUGUUGACAAAUCUGAUAAAAUUUUUUGUUUUUUGUUCUAAAAAGAAAAAUAAUGAUUGCCCUGCCCUAACAAAAUUAGCUAGGAUCUUGGGUUUUCCAUUUUUAAUUAGGAUCUUAAUUCUCUGGGUGUAUGUAUUGCUACAAUAUCUGCUUGAAUAGUUCCAACAUUAUCAAUGGAAGCAAUUGUAGUACGUCCACAAAAGGCAAACUUUAAAGAUAUAUAUAAAAAGGAAGCUUAUAAUUUUUAUAGGAAGCAAAUAUGAAUCUAGCUGAACGGGAACAAGAAUAUUUGUCAACUCAAACGGGAUCUAGCUAGCUUAUAAAACAAAGAAAAAAGAAUACUAAUAUCCUGAAUUGAUUAACUUGUCCUUUAGUAAAGUUAGUUAACAACUUCAUUUGGCAACAUAUAUUCAAGACUAAUAUUACAAAGAAAGGAUGCUUUGAACCAGGCGAUUGGACAGUGAGAGAAACGAUGAAUAACCAGAGGAAUUGCCGUACUCCAUCUACUAGAUGCCAAAAAUGGCAUGCAACUAUGGAAUUUUCCCAUGACAACAAGACCAGACCGGACAACAACCAAAACCAAAAGCAAAUUAAAAGGAUUGAAACGUAGACUGUUAGGAUCAAUUGAUAGUCUCUUUUCAGCAAUGAGUUCAUUUUGGAAGGAUAUUGACAACAUCCAAGGUAAUAUAAUAUAUGCACCUGAAUAAAUCUGAUGGAAGUAAAGUCCCAAUUUCCUGAGGAAGUAGAUAAACUUAGUUACCUCUUGCCACUUUCAUUUUGAAAGGAAGGGGGCAUUAGUGCAAGUAGGUAUUAGCAGAUUGAUGGUAUCAUCAUCCUCAUUAGUGCAAGCAAACUUUCUACUAAUCACACGCCAUACAUUGAGUAGUUUUGAACCCUCGAAUCAGAUGACAAAAUACUGCCAAUUGCCACCAUAAAGUGUAGCUACCUUUACCACCUCUCUUGUUCCUGAUUUCUUCGAUUGUCAUUUGAACUUUUCAAGUGCUUAAUAGGCCUUUGUGCUUGAUAGUGCGUUAUUCUUUGAACUUUUUGGCAUUGAAAUGUGAAGCAAAUUAGAUUCCGGAUACUUGUGCACAUGCAAUGCUCUCCAAUCAUCCUUUUUAAUUGAUCAAAGCUCCAAAAUAUUAAACAAAUAGAAAUCGUUGACAAAAGCGGCUCAUAUGUCUUUUCGAUGUUUAACAAGGUGGUGUCAUGACUUGCAACUACAUAUGACAUUUGAAAAUGGAUUUUUACAAAUUUAACCCUCAAAACUUGGAAAAACUAGUGUUUUUUCUCUGUUAAAUCAUAUGAAUUUGGGGGGCAGAAAGGGGCAUUACUGCUUUAUGUUUGCGAUUGCAACUGUAUCCGGAAGUCCUCCUGUGCUGAAUUGACAACGACAACCUCGGUCGGAAAAAAGAAUUGACAACGAAAUCACGUUGUAAAUGAUUGUUUGAGCCAAAAAAAAUUGCUUUAUAAAGAGAUUUACACCCUUAGCCCUAACCGAUAUCACGACUCUAUAUGAUAAGUGAAGGAAUUUCAUAAGAAGAGAGGGGCAAUUUUUUUUGGUCGGUUAGCACUUUCACACUUUGAACCAACAAAAAACCAAUGGACGGUAUUGUUGAGAAGAAAAUGAUUUUAUUGAGGUGGAAACUAACCGACCAUAGCAGAAUUCCCCCGAUGGAAAUCGUUUUUCCAUUCUGGGCCUUGAAACUCUUCCCAUCUCUUACGGGAUUUAGCAUGGAUUCCUUAAAAAGAAAGGGCUAAAUGUAAGUACGUUGGGUGCAUCCAGUUUGUGUAUCCUAUAUAUAUAGCUCAUUUCAAAAGGAUUUAGUACCUCUAUCACUUCCUAAGCUAGUAGUACUAAAAUUUUCAGACAACCUUCACCCCCCCAGCCACCAUGCCUCAAGCAACAAAGAUGUUCUCAAAGUCACUGACUGAGACUGACAUCAAGAAAAGGUUGGCGAUCCCCGCUAAAAUCCUGCCUUCCUUACCACAUUUCAAUGGAAGCCAUGCCGUGACAAUUCCCCUUAUGUACGGCACAAGGACGUGGCCAAUUGUUUGCUCUGUCCGCAAAACUGAUUACAAGAAAUCUGUUUUCUCCGGUGGUUGGAGAAAUUUUGUUAUUUGCAAUGAUUUCCAUGUUGGUGACAGACUCACCAUGUACAAAGUGAAAGAUGAAGCGGGCUCUUUCCACUAUAGGGUUGAAGUGGAGAAGCCAGCCACACCAUCCGUAGCUCUUUCAGCUCGGGCUUUCUCUUUGAAUCAUGAGGUAGAUGAAACCACUGGCACAAGCCGCACAAAAAUCAGCAACUUUCAACACGAUCAAGAGCAACUGCCAAAGGCUGAUGCACCGGUCAUACAGAAGGGAGCUACCAUGGAGCUAGCCGAUGCUGCAGCUAAUGCGCCGGACCCUUUCGUUAAUCAUGUUAUUGCCAAACCACCUGGCAUGAUAUUUGGGACCGUUGUGAGCGAUGAAGCGACCAGCAAGGCUCACUUCAAGCCUGAACAUGAGACAGAAAUGAAGUUCUUUGGCAUUACCAUGGCUAUUGGCUUGGGUGAACCAAUGCUCCAUGCGUGCUAUAUAACCAAAGAAGAGAGAGACAUCAAGGCUCCAGUUGAUCUCAAUGGGUCCCUGAGUACGGGAAGGCUCAUCUUGGACUUGGUUCUGGGACAACCAAAUCUAACCAAAGAAGAGGGAGACAUCAAGGCUCCCUUUGAUCUCAGUGGGGGUGGUUCACUGGCUGUUUUUGGCACUAGUCAAGCUACUGAAGAAGCAUAUUCCGACAGUACCGGAAGGCUGAACUUGGACUUGGUUCUGGGACAACCAAGUCCAUAUAACGGAGCAGUGAAUUUAGAUUUAACUUUGGCGCAGCCCCUGGGCGAUACUCGAGGCACCGUAUUUGCUCACUCAAAACCAUAGUAGGAAGUUACAAGACCGAAGAGAGCAAGAACAGCAGUGCGGGAGCUUUCCGAAGCCUGUCAUUGUCGAGGGUCAUAGUCUAAAGUGAACUCUGCUGAAUAAGUCCUCGUGUUGAUCACUGCAAUUUUGUUUCUCUUUUUUAUAUUAUUUCCGGCUACUUUUAUCUAGAGUUUCUUAUCCUGCUAGCUUGACAAUUUUUUGGAGUUUUGGAUUGUGGAGAAUACUGUACGCGUAAUAUAUGCUUUUUAAUCUUUUGGGUUCUUUCCUUGGUUUUAUUAACUAAAGUAGCUGCUUGAUUUCAAUUUUUGAUUUGAUUAAUCCCUUAGGGUCACUGAAAAGCCCAAUAUAAUAAGACUUGUUUUUUAAGUCUUUCUCUCGCCAGAAUUGUUGUCCCUCGUUGACCUGCUUUUCUUCCUUCUCCCUUGAUCCUCAAAGGGAUUCCGGUGGGUUAAUCAGAUCCAACUCUAAUGCCAAUUCGUCGGUCGGCAAAAUUCAACCCUUUCCAACAAGAUAUGGAGCUAACUAUCUGCUUGUCUCAUCCUAAUCAGUGAGUUUUUUUUUUUUUUGUUUAUUGGUAAACUAAUUAGGAUUUGGUAUUAUUUCUUGGUUGCAGCCAGAUCUAAGAUCUUGUUGUUUUCAUGGGGAAAAACCUAGCUACCCAAGUUCCUAGUUGCGCGCUAUAGCUGAUUAAAACUCUAUUUUCUGUUUUGUUUUUUUCAUAUCCUUGCUCCAAAGCAUGAAACACCCACCUAUUCUCUAUCAGAGGAAGAUCACAAGAAGAACCGAUUGCUGCACUUGAUACUUGUUCUGCAUACUUAGCAGCGGUUGUAUCGAGUGCAGCUUGUGCUUUUCUUUUGAUAUUCUCAUCCUCCCUUACGUUUAUCUUGCCAAAUUAAAAUUAUGCAAAAGUAUUAACUAAUUAAUUAAUUAUCAUUAGAGUUUUGUUGAAUGAUUGAAUUUCAACAUAAUUUAUCUUUUAUCUAUUUUUGAAUAAAUUAACUACUCACUCACCUUAUUUAAUUUUAAUCUCUUAUUAAUGUUCAAUUCGAUUUUGUGUACAAUUCUUCUUGCUUUCAUUAAUUACUUUGGAGAUAAUUUUAAUAGAAAAGUCAUAUGAUUUGUCAACAAUUCAAGUAGUUAUGUUGCCAAUCAUUUGCACUAUGGUGGGCUUACAGGUUAUCUAGUUUAAAAUCUCCAUCUGUCCUUCUUUUUCUUUUCUUUUCCUUUUUUUUUUAUAAUUGAUUAUUAAAACUUUUAUCUGCUUAAAUGGUUCAUUUGGUCAAUUAAUAGAUCUAAUAAUAAGAGUAUUUUCUUGGCUGCUUAUUUUGGACCGAAUGAGUAACUUGUCAAAACUAUGUUGAAUGUUCAUCUUUGCAGAAGUUAGGGAUUAAUUCUUUUAUGCUCUCAUUUCCUGUCACAUUUGGAAAGAAAAAAACUUAAAAUCAAACAUAUAUUAAUCAAUUAUAAAAAUAAAAACACAUGAUAAUUUAUGAGCGUUUAAAUACGAAAUGAGGCAAGAAAUGAGAACAAAUAAUUUGGAUUCUUUGCAUGAAAAAAAACUUAGAGUGAAAGAGAUAAAUCAAGAAGUUAAGCUGACAACAAAUUCAGACAUAACUUAUCAAUGAAGAAAUAUGUUUCAAAGGAAAAUAAUUAAUGAAAUGAAUAAGGCACAUAACAGGCCUAAGGGACUAGGCAAAGCUAGCAGUCUCUUUCAUUUAUUUCACAUUCAACUCUAUCGGGCGAUGAAGUAUGUGGACCCCAAAACAGAACCUUUGCCCCUCGCGAGUCACUCACAUCAUCUGUCGAUGGAACGCGCGCCGCUGCUGGGGAUCCACUCCGCAGGGAAAGUACGUGGUUAUACUCAUCAUUGGAAGCAAAAGCAGCACAAAAAGAAAAGAAAGAAGAUUCUGAUGUUCUCCUUAACAUCCGGGGCCUAUGGCAGGACAUGUUUUGUUGCUGAAACAAAUUCAUCAUAUCCUUACUCGAAAACUCUGACAUGCGUUUCCGUACGUUGUUUGUCCUUGCUGCAGAGGCCUAGUUAGGUACACACAUUAAUUUAACUAUAGAGAUCUACGAAAACAAAGAAUAAAACCAAUCAAAAACUUUAGACCCCUAAAAAGAUAAAAUAAUUGAAAAGUAUUGAAGAAACCCAAGGCGAGCACCACACUGACCCAGCCCACGUUCUCUAAUUGGGGUUUCAGUUAGUGUUACAUCUUGGGAGCCUAAACCUUUACAAACUGGGUGUGGACUAAUUAAUUGACAUCAGCCUGUUACUGUUAGCCCGUAUUGCUAAAAGUUGAAUCCCCAAAGGUCUAUGUGGGCAAUAUUGCUCUGCGGACAGCGGGGUAAGUUUAAGCGAAGAAGAGGAGAGCCACCUCAGUGGCAACUAAUCCAAGAGAACCACCUGCUGCCCCAACGAAGCUCAUAGCUAGAAUGAUAAUUAAUGUCCAUAAAUAGAAGUGAAAGCAGGCCUUCAACAAUAAAAAAACAGUGCCAUAUUUUGACUAAGGAUUCAAGCCAAAUGGAACGAAAGAGAAAAUUAAACAAAAAAGGGCAUAAAAUCCAAGUAUGUAUUACUUUGUCUGCAUGACAUUUCGAAUUUCCUUGCACCAUGUUCUAUCAUCCUUGCAUAUCUCCCUUCUCAUCAAAUAAUAAAAAGAUGUGAAGUAUGAUUUGAUGAUCUAAUCUGGACAGAUUGAAACUCUUGUGAUCAGCUUGUUCUAAACUUUGUCUUCUGAGCUUGGUGCACAUCUACAUGAUUUGCUUAUUUAGUCUUGGAAUUGUCUGCUGCUACUGCGGAAUUUCAAUUGCUAAACUUCUGUCAGAUGUUGAUCUUCUACUGAGCUUAUCUAAUGCAAUAGUACUAUCUUUCAAUUGAAAUUCGACACUGGUAACCAUUGGUGUAAUGACUUAGUAUUAUCCACGUCUAAUUUCUGAAAAAAAAAAACCAUCUUUAAUGUACUUAUAUUGUGAUAAAAACAUGCUUGUAAUAUUGAUCUAAACUCAACACCCAAAAAAAAAGAUCAAUGUACCAAAAUAUUUUAAGUGAGAAUCUGUUUACAAGCUGAUGCAAAAAGUCACCUAUAUAGACCAAGAAAAGUAAAUUAAGAUAGAAUUCUUGACGUAUAAAUAAGUAAGCAUGCAUCAUAAUCUGAAUUGUGAAAACCAUAAACAAUAAAAGAAGUGCUUAAUUCCUAAGAUCAAGCUCGAAGUGGAUUUCAUAGAUAUGAGCUUGUCUUUAUCAAUGAAUAGCGAGUUGAUUAUGUGAACUUUUUUGGCAUGAAAUGUUUAUUCACAAAAUUUAUACGGUUAUUUCUAUCUAUUUUAAAUUUCAUAAGUGAGUCUACAAAAAUAGAGUGUUCUGUUGAUGUGUCUUCUUCACUGUUGUUGCUUGUUGUUCUUUGUCUUUGGUGUUUAUUAUUUUGCUUCUGGUUUUUUGGUCCUUCUGUUGAUUUCGUUUUCUUGCUUGGUUUGGUUGGUUGUCUGUUUUACUAAGCAAGUUCUGAUUGUAUCCACAAGAUUUCCUUUCUCCCGUUGAUUGAAUACAAAAUCUAAAUUCUCCAUUUCUUUCAAAUUGCAAUAGAAUUCAUUGAACAUGUAUCGAUAAGUCUAUGACUUUUGUCCAUCAUCGCAUAUUCAAAAAAUCUUAGUUUUUGAGUCCAAUUCAAUAAUAAACCUUUAAAUCCAGAUAUCAACUCGAAAUAUUUCAAUAGUCUUCUAAUUAAGCUCGAUUUCAUUGGAUUAAAAUCAACCAAAAACUAAUUCGGUUCCUCUGAUGGUAUUUAUCAAAUGAAAAAAGGAAUACUGUGCAAGUAAUUCUUAGCAAUAUUAUUAUUAUGUACUUAAUUCUGCUUACAUCAAACUAUUACGAGAAUAAGAUAUCUGAUUAGUACUACAUAACUAUUGACAAAUUUGAUAAAACUUCUUACUUUUUGUUAUCAAAAGGAAAAUAAUGCUUGCCCUGACUAAAUUAGCUAGGAUCUUGGGUUUUCUAUUUUUAAAUAGGAUCUUAAUUCUCUGGGUGUAUGUAUAACUACUUUAUUUGCUUGAAUAGUUCCAACCUUAUCAAUGGAAGCAAUUGUAGAAUAUCCAUAAAAGGCAAACUUUAAAGAUAUUUACAUAUAAAAAGGAAGCUUAUAAUUUUGAUAGGAAGCCAAUAUGAAUUUAGUUGAAUGGGAACCACAGCCAGCCCUUGGGUGACGCCACCCAAGUAAGGGCUUUAGGCCCCCAAUUUAAAGAGGUGCCAAAUUUAAGGAGGAUUUAUAAUUUUAUAAUAAUUAUAAUAUAAUUAAUUAUAUUAAAAUAAUAUAUAAAAGUAAAAAAUAAUUAAUAAAAUUUUUUGUUCUCUCAUUUUUUUAAUUAUGUGCUUAAUAAAUCUCAAUUUUCUAUCACUUUCUUAUUUCUAGAAUGUUAUUAAUUCUCAACUAUAUUCUCUUAUUUUCAAUCAACUAACGGUCAUAUGUACUUAAUUAUCUCCAAAAGCUAUUUUUUUCUCACUUAUUUUUGUUAUUUUCAAUCAACUCAUUUAAUGAUUUCCAAUAGCUAUUUUUUUCCUAUUUAUAAAAUCAAUUAUUUUUUUUGUUUUCUAUAUAGCAGUAAAAAGUUGAAGUCAUUAUACGAUAAUAUUUUGAAAGAAUAUUGCCUUAAUCUUGAAUAUUCCUUAAAAUAUAAUAACUAUUCUGAUAUUAAUGGUUUAGAUUUAUUUUCAGAGUUAAAAAUUUUAAAAGAAAUUAUAUAGGAAGAAAACAGUCCAAUUGGCAUACUUAAUCAUACAAGAAGACUCGAUUCUUUUUCAAAUGCAUAUAUUGCUUCUAGAAUAAUGUUAACAAUUCCAAUAAGUGUUACUUCAGGAGAAAGAAGUUUUUCAAAAUUAAAAUUAAUAAACUUUUAUUUAAUAUCAAUAAUGUCUCAAGAAAAAUUAAAUAGAUUGACUAUAUUAUCAAUUGAAAAAGAAAUAUUAAAAAAACUUAAUGAUAAAAGUUUAAUUAAAAAUUUUGCAUCUCAAAAAGUUAAAAAAUUAAAAUUUUAAUAAUAUUUUUUUAAUUUCAAAAAAAAAAAACCUCAUUUGAAUAUUUCGUUUUAAAUCUUUGAAUUUAUUAGACCGUCUCUGAUGGAAACAAGAAUAUUGUCAACUCCAAUUGAUUAGCUUGUCCUUGAGUAAAAUUAGUUGACAACUUUAUUUGAAAAAAUAUAUUCAAGUCUAAAAUUAAAAAGAAACGAUGCUUUGUACCAGGUGAUUGGACAGUGAAAGAAACAACGAAUAACCAGAGGGAUUGUCUAGAUCCAUUUACAAAUGCCAAAAAUGGCAUGCGGCUAUAGGAUUUUGCAAGGAAUAUUCCGAUGACAACAGCAAGACCUGACCGGACACCAACAAAAAACUAAAGCAAAGUAAAAGGAUUGAAAUGUAGACUUUUACGAUCAAUUGAUUGUCUCGUUUUGAGCAAUGAGUUCAUUUUGCAGGACAUUGAUAACACAAGGUUAUAUAAUAUACAUACAACUUAUUAAAUCUGGUGGGAAGUAAAGUCCCAAUUUCCUCAGGAAGUAGAUAACUCAAUUUUAUGUAUGUUAUGUCCUUUAUGGUUCUACUUAGUUACUACUAGCAUUUAGAAAGGAAGGGGGCAUUAGUGCAAGUAGGCAUUAGCAGAUUGAUAGUAUCAUCAUCCAUCCUCACCAGUGCAAGCAACUUUCUACUAAUCACAUGCCAUACAUUGAGUCGCUUUGAACCAUCGAAUCAGAUGAUAAACUACCGCCGAUUACCACCGGCAAGGUUAAAGUGUAGUUACCUUUAUCACUUCUAGGGUCGGCUAUACCAUAAAGUCACCCAAACCCCACCUUUACCACUUCUCUUGUUCCUAAUUUCUUCCAUAAUCAUUUAAACUUUUCAAGUGCUUAAUGGGCCUUUACACUUGAUAGCGCGCUAUUCUUUGAACUUUUUGGCAUUGAAAUGUGAAGCAAUUAGUUUCUGGAUACUUGUGCACAUGCAAAGCUCUCCAAUCAUCCUUUUUGAUUGAUCAAAGCUCCAAAAUAUUAAACAAAUAGAAAUGGUUGACAAAAGCGGCUCAUAUGUCUUUCCAAUGUUUAACGAGGCGGUGUGGGAUGACGUUUGAAAAUGAAUUUUUACAAAUUUAACCCUCAAAACUUGCAAAAAGUAGUCUUUUUCUCUUUCCAAUCGUAUGAAUUUUGGGGCCAGAAAGGGAAUUUCCUGCUCUGUGUUUGUGACUGAAAUUGCAUCCAGAAGUCCUACUGUACUGAAUUGACAACGAUAACUUCGGUCGCAGAAAAGACUUAACAACGAGGUGGGCGGUCGUCGACGUGGAAUAAGCACGUGAAAUAUGCAUAAAUGCAUGGGAAUGAGUUACCCCUAACGAUAUCACAACUUCAUAUGAUAAGUGAAGGAAUUUCUGAAGAAGAGAGGGGCAAUUUUUUUUUGGUAGGUUUGCACUUUUGGACCAACAAAAAACCAAUGGACGGUAUAGCUAAGAAGAUAAUGAUUUUGUUGACGUGGAAACUUGCCUCAUUUCAUUCUACCAAAUGUCAAUUCCGCCGAUGGAAAGCGUUUUACCACUUUAGCCCUCGAAACUCUUCUAUCUCUUAUGAAAUUUAGCAUGAAUUGAAAAAGAGAGGGCUAAAAGGUAAAAGUGGACAACAUAACAAGUACUUUGGAUGCAUCUCCUUUCUGUAUCUAUAUAUAUCAGCUGAUUUCAAAAGGAUUUAGUACCACUAUCACUUCUUAAGCUAGUAGUACUAAAAUUUUCAGACGGCCUUCACCCACCUGUCACCAUGCGUCAAGCAAAGAAGAUCUUCUCAAAGUCACUGACUGACACUGACAUCAAAAAAAGGUUGGCGAUCCCCGCUAAAAUCCUGCCUUCCUUGCCACCUUUCAAUGCAAGCCAUGCCGUGACAAUUCACCUUUUGUAUGGCACAAGGAUGUGGCCAAUUGUCUGCUCUGUCCGCAAAACUGGGUACAAAAAACCUGUUUUCUCCGGUGGUUGGAGAAAUUUUGUUAUUUGCAAUGACUUCCAUGUUGGCGACGAAUUCACCAUGUACAAAGUGCAAGAUGAAGAGGGCUCUUUCCACUAUAGGGUUGAAGUGGAGAAGCUAGCCACACCAUCCGUGACUCUUUCUGCUCGGGCUCUCUCUUUGAAUCAUGAGGUAGAUGGAACCACUGGCACAAGCUGCACAAAACUCAACAACUUUCAACAGGAUCAAGAGCAACUGCCUAAAGCUGAUGCACCGGUCAUACAUGAGGGAGCUACCAUGGAGCAAGUCGAUGCUAUAGCUAAUGCGCCGGUACCUUUCGUUGAUCAUGUUAUUGCCAAACCACCUGGCAUGAUAUUUGGGACAGCUGUGAGUGAUGAAGCGACUAGCAAGGCUCACUUCAAGCCUGAACAUGAGACAGAAAUGAAGUUCUUUGGCAUUACCAUGGCUAUUGGCUUGGGUGAAACACCGCUCAUCAAGGCUCCAUUUGAUCUCAAUGGUUCCGAGAGUACGGGAAGGCUUAAUUUGGACUUGGUUCUGGGACAACCAAAUCUAACCAAAGAAGAGAGAGACAUUGAGGCUCCCUUUGAUCUCAAUGGGGGUGCUUCACUGGCCGUUUUUGGCACUAGUCCAGCUACUGAAGAAGCAUAUUCGACAGUACGGGAAGGCUUAACUUGGACUUGGUUCUGGGACAACCAAGUCCAUAUAACGGAGCAGUGAAUUUAGAUUUAACUUUGGCGCAGCCCCUUGCCGAUACUCGAAGCACCGUAUUUGCUCACUUGAAACCAUAGUAGGAAGUUACAAGACCGAAAGAGAGCUAGAACAGCAGUGCGGGAGCUUUUCGAAGCCUGUCAUGGUCGAGGAUCAUAGUCUAAAGUGAAAUCUGCUGAAUAAGCCCUUGUGUUGAUCACUCCAAUUUUGUUUCUCUUUUCUAUAUUAUUUCCGGCCACUUUUUAACUAGAGUUUCUUAUCCUUCUAGCUUGACAGUAUUUGGGAGUUUUGGAUUGUGGAGAAUAUUGUACGCGUAGUAUGUGCUUUUUAAUGUUUUGGGUUCUGUUCUUGGUUUUAUUAACUAAAGUAGCCGCUUGAUUUCAAUUUUUGAUUUGAUUAAUCCUUAGGGUCACUGAAAAGCCCCAUAUAAUAAGACUUGUUUUUUUAGUCUUUCUUUCGCCAGAGUUGUUGUCCCUCGUUGACCUGCUUUUCUUCCUUCUCCCUUGAUCCUCAAAGGGAUUCCGGUGGGUUAAUCAGAUCCGACUCUAAUGCCAAUUCGUCGGUCGGCAAAAUUCAACCCUUUCCAACAAGAUAUGGAGCUAACCAUCUGCUUGUCUCAUCCUAAUCAGUGAGUUUUUAUUUUUUUGUUUAUUGGUAAACUAAUUAGGAUUUGGUAUUAUUUCUUGGUUGCAGCCAGAUCUAAGAUCUUGUUGUUAUCAUGGAGAAAAACCUAGCUACCCAAGUUCCUAGUUGCUCGCUAUAGAUGAUUAAAACUCUACAUUCUGUUUUUUUUUCAUAUCCUUGCUCCAAAGCAUGAAACACCCACCUAUUCUCUAUCAGAGGAAGAUGACAAGAAGAACCGAUUGCUGCACUUGAUACUUGUUCUGCUUGCUUAGCAGCAGUCGUAUCGAGUGCAGCUUGUGCUCGUCUAUUGAUAUUCUCAUCCUCCCUUACGUUUAUCUUGCCAAAUUAAAAUUAUGCAAAAGUAUCAACUAAUUAAUUAAUUAUCAUUAGAGUUUUGUUAAA